CCCAAGGUGAAGAUGGACCAAAGUCAGUGUUAGAACCACAACAGUGACCACAACAAAGAUGGCGCCCACAGCCCGCCCCCGCAGCGCCCACACCAGGCGGGAGCUGCAGCGGGAGAUACAGAAGCGUCAGGGCGCCGCCAGGGACAAGUGUCAGGGCGGCGUGGACAGCAGUGGUGUUGAUGGAGGUGGCAGUGGUGGAGGUGGUGUGGAGGGGGGGGAGGGUGAGGCGUGGAGCCCCACCUCCUACACGGCCCUGAAGGCGUUGCUGUCAGCCAGACUGUGCGCUGCCAUCUGGUCCAUCCUGUCAGACUGUGAUGAGACUUUUAACUACUGGGAGCCCACACACUACUUCAUCUACGGCCGCGGUCUACAGACGUGGGAGUACGCGCCACACUACGCCCUCCGCAGCUUCACCUACAUCCUGCUGCACGCUGUUCCUGGCAAGAUAUAUGCUGUUUUGCUGCAGAGUAACCGAAUGCUGGUAUUCUUCUUCAUCCGCUGUCUUUUGGCACUUGGCUGUUCAGCGUGUGAGCUCUAUUUCUACAGGGGUGUGUGUAAGGCAUUUGGUCCACUAGUUGGGUCUCUGACAAUUGGCAUAAUGGUCUUCUCAGCUGGAAUGUUUACCGCAGCCACAGCCCUCCUGCCGUCGUCCUUCGCCAUGUACAUGACCCUCCUGUCAAUGGGAGCAUGGUACCAGCAGAGCCCCCAGCUGGCCAUCUUCACCACAGCCAUCUCCACCUUCCUGGGAUGGCCCUUUGCUGCGGCCCUGGGGGUCCCCAUAGCACUGGAUUUGUUGGUCCGAAGGAAGCAGAUUGGAACCUUCUUCAAGUGGUCCAUUAUAUCAGCUGUCACUAUUCUGGUCCCCAUGGUGCAGAUAGACUCCCACCUCUAUGGCAGACUGGUGGUGGCUCCCCUCAACAUAGUGCUAUACAAUGUCUUCUCAGUAGGACCAAAUUUGUACGGCACAGAACCAGCAUCCUUCUACCUCGUCAAUGGCCUACUGAAUUUUAAUAUAGUCUUCGUGGCCGCCCUCCUGCUGCCGCUGCUGCUGUGUGCUUCCUACUUCAUGGAAAAGCAAAGCAAACCAGGCCACCUUCCACACUGGCUAGCUGUCUCCCCUCUCUAUCUGUGGUUUGGCAUCUUUCUACCUCAACCACACAAAGAGGAGAGGUUCCUUUUCCCCGCUUACCCCCUUGUGGCACUCUCCGGGGCCUUGGCUGUCGACUACGGGCAGAGGCUCUGGCGGGUGUGUACGCAAGCCGUGUGCGCGAAACGAAGGCAAACGCACACACAAACGCACUGGAUGGCGAUGACCUUCCUGAUAUUAACUUCAAUUUUGUCGCUCUCAAGAAUUGUGGGGCAGUAUAGAGCUGGCACUUGAGGUUUCUGCGGAGUGAGUUCCGGGGCCAGUUGCCACAGUACUUCCCCGAGGCACCCAAUGGCACCGCCCUCACUCCUGCCAAUGUCAACAAUGUCAACAGAGAGGAGAUAGACAGAUAUGUGCCGGAGAGCGCGUGUC
rnacentral:misc_RNA from 1 species